rnacentral:tRNA from 1 species
UCUCGAUUGGUCUAGUGGUAAGGAUACCUGCUUGUCAUCUCAGGCAAUGCGCAGGUGGCCGGGGUUCGAUUCCCCGAUCGAGAG